rnacentral:rRNA from 1 species
GACAGAGGAUGCAAGCGUUAUCCGGAAUGAUUGGGCGUAAAGCGUCUGUAGGUGGCUUUUUAAGUCCGCCGUCAAAUCCCAGGGCUCAACCCUGGAUAGGCGGUGGAAACUACCAAGCUGGAGUACGGUAGGGGCAGAGGGAAUUUCCGGUGGAGCGGUGAAAUGCGUAGAGAUCGGAAAGAACACCAGUGGCGAAAGCGCUCUGCUGGACUGCAACUGACACUGAGGGACGAAAGCUAGGGGAGCGAAAGGG